rnacentral:tRNA from 1 species
UAGCUAGGAUAGUUUAAUAAAACACUAGGCCGUGAUCCUAAUAAUAGAACCUUAGUUCUUCCAAGCC